rnacentral:rRNA from 1 species
AUCCAGCAAUGCCGCGUGAGUGAAGAAGCCCUUCGGGUUGUAAAGCUCUUUUGUCAGGGAAGAAACGGGAGUGGCUAAUAUCCAUUCCUAAUGACGGUACCUGAAGAAUAAGCACCGGCUAACUACGUGACAGCAGCCGCGGUAAUACGUAGGGUGCAAGCGUUAAUCGGAAUUACUAGGCGUAAAGCGUGCGCAGGCGGUUUUGAAAGUCUGUCGUGAAAUCCCCGGGCUCAACCUGGGAAUUGCGAUGGAGACUGCUAGGCUAGAAUCUGGCAGAGGGGGGUAGAAUUCCACGUGUAGCAGUGAAAUGCGUAGAGAUGUGGAGGAACACCGAUGGCGAAGGCAGCCCCCUGGGUCAAGAUUGACGCUCAUGCACGAAAGCGUGGGGAGCAAACAGGAUUAGUACCCUGGUAGUCCACGCCCUAAACGAUGUCCACUAGUUGUCGGGUUUUAAUUAACUUGGUAACGCAGCUAACACGUGAAGUAGACCGCCUGGGGAGUACGGUCGCA